CCUACGGGCGGCAGCAGUAGGGAAUCUUUCACAAUGGGCGAAAGCCUGAUGGAGCAACGCCGCGUGCAGGAUGAAGGCCUUCGGGUUGUAAACUGCUUUUAUAAGCGAGAAAUAUGAUGGUAACUUAUGAAUAAGGAUCGGCUAACUACGUGCCAGCAGCCGCGGUCAUACGUAGGAUCCGAGCAUUAUCCGGAGUGACUGGGGGUAAAGAGUUGCGUAGGUGGCAUAAUAAGUAGCUAGUUAAAUCUGGUGGGUCAACCAUUCAGACUAUUAGCUAAACUGUUAAUCUCGAGACCGUUAGGGGUAACUGGAAUUUCUAGUGUAGGAGUGAAAUCCGUAGAUAUUAGAAAGAACACCGAUAGCGUAGGCAGGUUACUGGGACGGUUCUGACACUAAGGCACGAAAGCGUAGGGAGCAAACGGGAUUAGAUACCCUUGUAGUC
rnacentral:rRNA from 1 species